AGAAUAAACGCUGGCGGCGUGCCUAACACAUGCAAGUCGAGCGAGAAAGUCCUUUCGGGGACAAGUACAGCGGCGAACGGGUGAGUAACGCGUAAGAAUCUACCGUUUAGUGGAGAAUACCCUCGAGAAAUCGAGGUUAAUACUGCAUAAGUCCCUUCGGGGAGAAAGAUGGCCUCUUUGCUAUCGCUAGAUGAGGAGCUUGCGUACUAUUAGCUAGUUGGUAGGGUAAAGGCCUACCAAGGCGAUGAUGGUUA
rnacentral:rRNA from 1 species